AAAAAAUUAUUAAAAACUUAAUAGAAAUAUUAAGCAUAAAGAUUAUGUGGUUGCAAUAGCAGAGAGGAUACACCUGUUCCCAUUCCGAACACAGAAGUUAAGCUCUCUAGCGCUGA
rnacentral:rRNA from 1 species